rnacentral:lncRNA from 1 species
UAGAAGAAGGAUCAAGAGUUUAGAAGAGAUCUACCAAAGGUUUUAACAAUCUUAAAAGCAACAAUAAAUAAAGAAGAUGAACAAUAAAAAAUCGUAAAGUAAAGUAUGCCAUGCGGUACAAAAACAAAAAGUUUAUAUAAAGAUUGAGACACAGCCCUAAAAAGAAGAAAAAGGAAGGUUUACAAAGGCCCAACCGAGCGGCGGCGUCUUGAUAACCGAUAGGUUUGAUCUCUUCACCGAUCAGGCCUCUUAAUAGAUCAUCUCUUCUUUUGACGCUUUUUGGUCCAUUUGUUCCUUCAAAAGUCCACUUCUGUUCCGUAGGUCCAAAAUCCUGAAAACACUAAAAGAUAUCU